ensembl:lncRNA
GAAAACCUUAUCUUGACACUCUUUUCCACCCCUUUUAAAAGGGAAGACUGUUAAGUCACUCACUGUUUUUCUUAUCUGUUGAUGAAGGGCUUGCACUGCCUGCUGUUACGAAGGGUACAUUUUAUAGUAGGGCACUGGAACUCCUUUUCAUCGUCUGGAAUCUGCAGACCUGCCUUACUCAUUUGUUCACGGCAUUCUCUCAGCUAGUGAAAGAAGCUGUCAUCACUGAAGAGAGUGUUGUUCAUAAUCAAGUAAUCCACUGGUGCAUAUUGGACCCAAUCAGGAAUCUAAGAAUGAACAUGGUUGAGGAGGGUUCUUCUGUAUCUCUAAAUAUCUGUGUUGACUUGAUUUACCAAAGAGCUGCUCCUGCUGCCUACCUUCCACACAGGACAUUGGGAAGCUCUUCCAGGAC